UACGGCUCUCUGGGGGGAACGUUAAAGACGAGCACGAGCUAACGCUACCUGAGCGCACUUGCUAGCUAAAACCGCUAACAGCAUGGACGAACUUGAUGAUGCCACGGUGUCGACUUUAAGAGCUAACAAGUCUGCAGAUAUUGACAGUCCAGACACCUACAGUCCAGCAACCUUGGCCAAGCACUACAAGACCCUACAAACUUUGUAUAAAAGAAAAAAUCCAAACCACCAGGAUAUCUCUCAUCUCUUGGAUUUGGAAUUCGUAGCCAGAAGAGCAUUCAUUGAUUCAAAUACCGUUCGCGAAGAGGACAGACAUGAGAAGGUUCUCGAAGCAUAUCCUUGUUUCAAGGACAUUGGACAUGUAAGUCAUUAUUGACUGUGCAUGAUUAAAACCAUGGUAUCACGCACAAUGUUUAAAAGACCUGGCCUAACCUUAACC